rnacentral:other from 1 species
UGCUCUCUGCGAUGUUUGCCAGUGGGUCCGGAUAAUGCCUUGUCCCUACUUUUAGUCUUCGGGAAGGCAAACGUGGUGCUGGUGUGCACGUUCGUUCCGCGAACCGCCUGAAAGCACGACGCGCUUUCCCACUUGAACCUCCGGUUCAAGGUUUCCGGGACUGCAGCGGCAUUCGUGGAGAGCAC